AAUGGGUUGCCUGAUGAAAAGGAUUAUCUUGAUAGGGUAAAUUAUAAAGAAUUUCUUUACUCAUUA
rnacentral:tRNA from 1 species